AUGGAGUGUUGAUUUGAUUCUCUCUGUAUUUCGGUAUUAGAAUGACUCGUCCGCUGACAGCCGAAACACGAAGACAUUUGUGUACAGCGAUAUAUUCUGGAGAAAUAAUAAGAUAGGGGUAUGUUUUUUUAUUAGAAAAAUAAGUGUAAAACGUCAGGUGCCUCUGACGCCGGAAUGGAAUCGGUGUGAUUCACUGCACGACGGAAUAGACGGCGUCCUUUGAUGACCACUGGGUUCGUGAUGGAACAAUUAGUUUAUAUACCUACCUUGAUCUGCUAGGGGUUUGUAAUUUUAGGAAGGAAGACAUUAAUUUCUCUGCAAUCUGGUGACGAUGUAUACAUUUCAUGUUUACGGAAUAAACACUGACCCUUAAAUCUAAGUCUCAGCAUCCACGGCUGGGGGAUACAAAGUUCUCGAGAACCAGACGACUCCAGUAGAGGUUUAAGGCAUCCUCCGCUGGGUAGUAAAUGACCACCAAGACUCCUAUAUAAGACUUGUUGUUAGAGUCAUCCACAGAACUUUUUCUAAUUAAAUUCCUGGCCACGUGUUCUGUUUAUUGAGGAAUUGUGAACGUGUAAACUUUAAAGAUCUUAGCUGGCAUGGACAGAUAGAAGGAUGGGGGGGGUGAACCAACUAGGGGUGAGUAGAUGAUAUUUUCUAGAGUAUCAUUGGAAGGCUUUGGCUGUCCACUUUUAUAAAGAAAAUGUCUAAAGAGAAUGGAGUGUAUGGGGCUAAAAUAUGGAUAGAUUGAUGGAUGAGUGUAUAUGGAUAGAUAGAUGAAUGGAUUGAUAAAUACAUGGAUGGAUUGGUUGGUAAAAUGCAUGGAUGGGUAUGAUAAGUAAAUGGAUGGAUGGAUGGAUGGAUGGAUGGAUGGAUGGAUGGAUGGAUGGAUGAAGGAAGGGAUGGAUACAUUGGUGACUGGAUAGAUCGAUGGGUGGAUUGGUAAAUGCAUGGAUGUGUAAAUUGGUAUGGAUAUGGAGGUACAAAUGUAUAGUUAGCUAUGUGUAAGGAAUAGGAGAGUAUAUGUGUAACAUGAUGACAACGAUAAAUUCAACUUUUAAAAUUUCUUUAAAUCUAGAACUAAAAUAUGCAAUUUUUGCCCGUUGU